rnacentral:rRNA from 1 species
UACAGAGGUCCCGAGCGUUGUUCGGAUUUAUUGGGCGUAAAGGGUGCGUAGGCGGCGGAGUAAGUUGGGUGUGAAAUCCCGGGGCUCAACCUCGGAAUGGCAUUCAAUACUGCUUCGCUAGAGUACUGGAGAGGAGGCUGGAAUUUACGGUGUAGCAGUGAAAUGCGUAGAUAUCGUAAGGAAGGCCGGUGGCGAAAGCGGCUACCUGGACAGUUACUGACGCUCAGGCACGAAAGCGUGGGGAGCAAAAGGG